CUCUUCUUUUGUAAUGUAGACGUAACACAUACACAUACUGGCGAUGCUGAAUAUGCUGUCAUCCACCGGACACGCAGGGAUCUAGAAAACGUUGCUCUGUCUUCUAGCCAAUAUAUGCCUUCAUGUGAUGACAUAAAUGAUUGCUUCGGAAAUGCAGCGACUGAAAGUACAGUGCACUUAGAACAACCAUCAAACGAGAAUGGUAUUUCAGUAGAAACAGGUCCUGAUGUACGUCGAUGUCAAAGCAAAGAACAUCUUUAUACAACAGACAACGAAAAUGACAACGGUAUUUCUAUGCAGAAUCAAGUAAUGAACCCAGAAGCACCAAAU